UACUGGCGUCGACUCGAAGGGGCGGGACUAAGCCCUUCCCGGACCAAGGAGACUCGACCUGUAAACUGGGGGGCGUGACCAACGGAAAGAGCCGCUUCCCUGGAGGCGCUGGCGCAAGGCCUGUUUUCGUGCUCCGUGUGCACUCUCGUGCGCUAAAGCGAGGCGGGUGAGGCGUUACCUACAGGCUCUCUGAGUGUCACGGUUGGACGCUCAGGUCCGAGACGGCGGUACCUCAACAGCAGAACCGGCAGGUCUCGAGCAGGGGGUUACGGUUAGGCGUUUGUAGGCACUCGCCAGGCUGCGCAGAUGCGAACGACACCGACUGGUCCCCUGUCCUGGGAACGCUUCAUUCUUCGCAUCCCGACAUAGGGGUAAAUUAUCUCUGGUGGUGGUAUAUUCGUUAAAAAUCUGACUGCCAGUGCAGGGGACAAGGGUUGGAUCCCUGGUCUAGGAAGAUCCCACAGGCCACUGAGCAA